GAAAAAUAGAAGGGAGAGAGUCAUCCAAGCCACUCUUGGAAAGGAAUUCUAGAAAAUGGGCACAACCAUUGAGAAGCCUUUCUCCUGUGUCCUUGACAGAAGUGCUUCUGAGCAUGGACACAUGUUUAAACAGAUGUCAAUGACCAUUAAAAAGGAAUAGGAGUUUCAGAUGUGGAAGGCCAAGAAGUCAAAGGUUUAUUAAGGCCACCUUCUCAGAAACAAGCUAUUCUCCAAAGCUGAAAUAUCCUACAGUCUGUGUUUCCACAUUUAAAAUUUCACCAAGAAGAUUCAGAGGAAGAGCUUCUUUAAACAUAUCUGAAAAUGAAAUAUUCCUGCACAUUCCUUCCCUCCACCUUGGGCGAUGCAGGCUAGGAAUGAAUUCAUUUUCUCUGUCUAAUGUAGUUGUAGCUUUUUUGUGGAAGAUUUCAGCCAAGCCAAUUUCCAUCCAGACAGCAUCUGUUAGACAUUGGUGGUAACCAAUAGGAUCUGAAAGAGGCACAAACAGGAUCUAGAGUCCAAGGAGAAAUUAUCAUGCAGCCAGGGGUAUUUCUGGUGGUACAGGGUGUUUGGAUAGCACUGGAUGACACCUUGGGGUAGGGUGGGGUUGUGUUUGCCUUCUGGUGUAGAGUGCUCCACUGCAGCUCUUUGCAGGUAGACAGGGACUCCUAAAGACCAAACACUGUGAAGGACUGGGUCUAUUUGCUUGGAGGCAGCAAGGAGACUGGCUGGGAGGCUGUUGGCAUGCCAUGAUGAACGCCUAGGUUUCUCAGGGUCUGGAAUAGCCCUAACCUGGUUACCCUGGUGAUUGAGGUGGCAAAGAGCCUUCAACACUUCAAAAAUUGACAAGGUCUCCUCUCCCCACGUGAAGCCGUGACUCAAGUACAAUUACACACUUCAGAGCAGAGGGAUCAUUUUCUCCAGUUUGAGGGACAUUCUGGCUUAAAGAAUAAGACAAUAAAAAAAGCUGAAAGGCCCAAGACCACAAGUGCAAGAAAGGCCCAGAACAAACCAGUAGUCUUCAUGGUGGAAAUGGGAGACAAGCACUCAGGAGUCUAUUGAAACUGGACAUUACUUGCAAGAAUGCUCAAGAAGACAGUCUGAGCAUUCAGGGAAAUGUAUAUUGCUAUGAUGCAUACGCUUUCCCUGCCACAAAAAAAAAAAAAAAAAAAAAAAAGGGGGGGGGGGAAGAGAUAAUUUGACAACCAGAUAGGUAAAUUAAGCCUAUGUUUAUCUUCCAAUGAACAGUCACAAAACAAAACUCAUUAAAAUGCAAAAUAAUCCAUGUUAUUAUGAAUAAUGCACUUGAGGGGGCACCUCUUCUAAACUAAACAUAUCAUACAGUUUGGACCUAAGAAACAGGGCAAGUUGUGCGGGAAAUAUAUAGGGGCCUUUUUACUUUCCAUUUGUCUGAGAGUCUGGUUAGAGUUAUCAUCAGUUAGGAAAAACAGAACUCCACAAGAGUGGGGUCAGGGGCACAAUUCUCCCCUUCCAAUGUGUGAAUUCAGAAAGUUUCAGAAUUUUUUAAACAAAAAUUUCACACUUGCAAAAUGAUUUUUGUGAAAUUGCUCCUAUUGUCCAAACAGGUCAAGUAAUUUUAGACUUAGAAGGAUGAAAGGUGGCUUAGGAAUUCUUGAUGUCUGAGAAAUCUCUUUUGUUUUUUUGUUUUUUUAUAUCUCCCAGUUAAUGUUCCUAGGAUGAAGUUUGUUAACUCCAACGGAGAAAUGUCUGCAGUAAGUAAGUGUGUACUUUCUAUCAUUCAUCUUUGGUCUUAAGGGCAUUGCGGAUCUGAUAAGCUGUGGUUUGUCUUUUUUUGGUCCCUGCUUGGUUUGAAACAAAACAAGUGAAUAUCUUUUUGAUUUUCUCUUCCCUCCUCCCUUCUUCUUCUAAACAUAUUGUCUGAGAGUUUUGCCUCCAGAGUCUGGCGUCAUUGAAAGAAAAACAGACAAAGCAACUUAACCCAACUCCCUAUUCUUCUUCUCAGGGACAUGUCUUUUUUACUUUUGCUUAUCCUAAACUGGCAUUUUGUUUUUAGCUUACUUCUUGUUUCUGUUAAAUGUUUGGAAAAGCCAGAGAGAGAAAUGUGAAAUGACCGAUUAUUUGUGAUAUAUGUAAAAAUACUGUAAAAAGAAAGCCUCUCUGCAUAUCAGGCAGAAUUCAUUCCUAGUAAUACCUUUCCAGUGAUAACCCCCUUCCUGUGGAAUAACAUUCCAAGAGAGGAAGGGUAUUCUGGAACCUACUUUAUGUUUGUUUACCUUUGGGAGGGGAGGGCAAGUUUCAUCGUCCCAGAUUUUUAAGUCCUCCAGUUUUGUUUUAUUUUUCUUUAUCAUUGGUAAGCAUCCUGUCCUAAAUUCAGUACGGUGCUCACAGAAGCACUGGACCUUUCAAUCCUGCAGGAAGUACUCCUGCAACUGUCUCCAGCUGCAGGAGACAAAAAUGCUCUAGAGAGUUCUCCAUUCCCCCCCCCCCGCGAACAGAUUUUAGGGUGCUUAGGAGCUGCAGAGGGGAGUAGAGACUGAAUCCACCCUCAGUUCCACUUUUGCACAACUAGAAGCAUUUGAUUGUGCUUUUGAGGUUUCAGUGGUGAUGCUGGUUUGACUUUUUUUUAGUCUGUACCUGUUCUUAUUAUUGUUCUAAACUUGAAUGCUAAUUUUAUGGUUUUAGCUCUGUUUUAUGGUAUAAUAUAAUAAUUGUUGUUAUGUCCCUUCCAGUCAUUUCUGAUUUAUUACAACCAUAUCAUUGCCGUUUCUUGGCAGGAUUUAUUCAGAAGGGAUUUGCCAUUGCCUUCCUUUUAAGAUGAGAGAGUGUGUAUUGUCAGAGGCCACCCAGUGGGUUUCCAUGGCUGAGUUGGAUUUGAAUGCUGGGCUCCCAGAGUCCUAGCCUAAUAUUUAAACUAUGACACUAUGCUUUCUAUUAUGGAUAAUAUCCAUAAUAUCAUCUUUCCCAAUAUUUUUUAAAGAAUGCUUUUCCUUUUAAAACUGAAGAUGAUGAAGAACAUGCUUUUUCAAAGUCACCGGAUAAUACUUAUUCACACAAUAACGUGCUGGUAAAUUUCAAAUGCAUCUUGCCUCUUCAACUUACCCAUGGCAGGAUGGUAUUUUGUUGUUGUUUUUCUUGUGUUCUGUCCUAUCAGAAAUAAAUACGCCUGGCAAAGUAAGCGAAGCUUUGCAAAACAAGAUAUGUUUUAAAAGUUUAGUGAGGACAGCAGGCGUAACAUUAUGUUACACACCACUGUGAGGGAUUUUGCAGGGUGUGCAAUCAGCAGUGGAAUUCUGAAAGCUUUUAUGGAGUGUGAAGUUUCACAGUUGUUUUGUAAGAAAAGUCCCCACUGUGCAGAGGUCAAGGAAGGAAUUCGUUUUUUGAAAUCAUAGUGGCUGAGGCACUCCUUCUAAUUUUAAAAAUACAUUGCACUUGGUGCAGAGAUUAAAGACAUUGGCAUAAAUCCAAUUAUUAGUUCCUACUACAGUAGACCAGAAGGGCAGAAAUGGGAGGGGGAGGCAAAAUAAGGACAUUGUGCCCCUGUCAAAUGAUAAUUUCCCCUCCAAAUGAAGUUUUCCUCCAGCAACCAGGUGGGGAGAGACAACAGACCUUUGAGCUAGCAGAUAAGGAAGUGAAGGUUUGGGGGAGUAGCAGCUCAUCUGCUUAUUUUCCCCCAUCUGCCUUUGCUGAAGUCACUGUGAGCAAAAAAAGCAGCCAGGUGGGGAAAGGCAGCAAGCAUUUUUAGCCAGCAGUGUGCACCCUGAGAUGUGCGCAGUUAUAUCCCAUAUAACCCAUAUAGAUAUUACAGGGAGAAAGGAGAGAGAAAUAACUGCAGAGAUGGAAGCAGAAGGAACCAUCAUUGUCUACUGCAAUGUAUGUACAAUCUUUGUCUUCUUGCCAAUACACCUCACACCAAUUACACCAGCAGCAAGUGCAAAUGGGUAGCUGUCUUGGAAAAGGUCAGUGCACUACAGCUACAUGUUGAGACCCUUCAGUGCAUCAGAGAACAUGAGGACUUCCUGGAUGAAAUACAGGGAGAACUGAUCCCACAGAACCAAUGAGAAGAAAGUGCCAAUGGAGAGACCUAUCAUAGUGAAGAAACACUCUGGAGGGCAGUCAUGAACCAUAGUGAAAAGAUUCAGAACCUCUCCCACAAAGCAGUCACUUUCUACAUCUUUAUGAUCAAACAGGUAGCUAACAACAGAGGAUACUGCAUGCCAUGGAAGGAGUCAAGGUAACCCCAAUUGCAACAGAAAGAAAAGAAAGGUGGUGAUGGUUGGAGACUCAUUGCUCAGGGAUAUAGAGGCACCAGUGUGCCAGCUUGACAAGAUGAAUCAGGAAGUGCGCACACAUAUCCUGGAUAACAAAACUCAUCAAGAACACAAAUCAGUACCCCUUUCUUCUUAUUCAUGGGGGCACCGAUGACACUGCCAAGAACAUUUUUGAGGAGAGCACCUCUGACUAUGAAGCUUUAGGCAGGAAGCUGACAGGGUUUGGGGCACAGGAUGGCAUUGUCAAUAAUGCCAGUGAAAGAUAAAGGACUACACAGGAACAGGAAUGGGACCAAGGUCUUAACUUCUUAGGGGAUUAUCACAUGGAGGCUUAUCCUUUACAUGCCUUUAAGAAGACGGAUCUCUUCUGGUGGGCUUAUCCAUCCGACCUCUUAUAGGAAAUCUUUAAGAUAAAAUGCUUCACUU